CUUAUCUGUUCUGGUUUCCAGCUUGCUGUUUACUGUGUACCAGACCCCGGCUAGUCCUAGUUUACGCUGUCUCUCUGUGCCCUUGACUUCGGAUCGCUCCUGACUCUGUCUCCUCUCAUAUACGUCGAGUCCGGCCAUUCUAAGGUCCGGUAGACGUAUCUCUCCUCUGUGUUGUCUUCUGUUUAGCUGAAUCCUGCGUGUUGGGGUAUAUUCUCGUUACAUUACAAUAGGGCCAUGGACCCCGCAGAUUUGGCUCAGCAAAUGGCUUCUCACAAG